UGCGAGUGAAGCGGGAAAAGCUCAAAUUUAAAAUCUGGCAGUCUUUGGCUGUCCGAGUUGUAAUCUAGAGAAGUAUUAUCCGCGCUGGACCGUGUACAAGUCUCCUGGAAUGGGGCGUCAUAGAGGGUGAGAAUCCCGUCUUUGACACGGACUGCCAGGGCUUUGUGAUAUGCUCUCAAAGAGUCGAGUUGUUUGGGAAUGCAGCUCAAAAUGGGUGGUAAAUUCCAUCUAAAGCUAAAUAUUGGCGAGAGACCGAUAGCGAACAAGUACCGUGAGGGAAAGAUGAAAAGAACUUUGGAAAGAGAGUUAAACAGUACGUGAAAUUGCUGAAAGGGAAACGCUUGAAGUCAGUCGCGUUGGCCAGGGAUCAACCUUGCUUUUUUGCUUGGCUUACUUUCUGGUUGAUGGGUCAGCAUCAAUUUUGACUGGUGGAAAAAGUUCAAGGGAAUGUGGCAUCUUCGGAUGUGUUAUAGCCUUUGUUCACAUACAUUGGUUGGGAUUGAGGAACUCAGCACGCCGCAAGGCCGGGUUUUUAACCACGUACGUGCUUAGGAUGCUGGCAUAAUGGCUUUAAUCGACCCGUCUUGAAACACGGACCAAGGAGUCUAACAUGCCUGCGAGUAUUUGGGUGAAAAACCCGAGUGCGUAAUGAAAGUGAAAGUUGAGAUCCCUGUCGUGGGGAGCAUUGACGCCCGGAUCUGACCUUUUGUGACGAUUCUGCGGUAGAGCAUGUAUGUUGGGACCCGAAAGAUGGUGAACUAUGCCUGAAUAGGGUGAAGCCAGAGGAAACUCUGGUGGAGGCUCGUAGCGAUUCUGACGUGCAAAUCGAUCGUCAAAUUUGGGUAUAGGGGCGAAA
rnacentral:rRNA from 1 species